rnacentral:SRP_RNA from 1 species
GCCAGGUGUGGUGGUGCACACCUGUAAUCCCAGCUACUCGGGAGGCCGAGGCACAAGAAUUGCUUGAACCCGGGAGGCAGAGGUUGCAGUGAGCUGACAUAUAGCACCACUGCACUCCAGCCUGGGUGAAAGAGCAAGACUCUGUCUCAA